GCCAUCGUGGCGCAAUGGUAGCGCAUCACCUUCCUACUCAAUGGAAGGUCAGGUGGGGGUUGCGGGUUCGAUCCCCGUCGGUGGUA